GCCAUAUGAUGAGUCGUAGCUGCAGGAGCUCUUGGGCUGUGAUGACCUGCUAUCUAUCACCCUUUUCUGAUGGCU
rnacentral:snoRNA from 1 species